rnacentral:rRNA from 1 species
UACGUAGGGUGCAAGCGUUGUCCGGAAUUAUUGGGCGUAAAGAGCUCGUAGGCGGUCUGUCGCGUCUGCUGUGAAAACUCAGGGCUUAACCCUGAGCUUGCAGUGGGUACGGGCAGACUAGAGUGUGGUAGGGGAGACUGGAAUUCCUGGUGUAGCGGUGGAAUGCGCAGAUAUCAGGAGGAACACCGGUGGCGAAGGCGGGUCUCUGGGCCGAUACUGACGCUGGAGGAGCGAAAGCGUGGGGAGCGAACAGG